UACGUAGGGUGCAAGCGUUGUCCGGAAUUAUUGGGCGUAAAGAGCUCGUAGGCGGUUUGUCGCGUCUGCUGUGAAAACCCGAGGCUCAACCUCGGGCCUGCAGUGGGUACGGGCAGACUAGAGUGCGGUAGGGGGAGAUUGGAAUUCCUGGUGUAGCGGUGGAAUGCGCAGAUAUCAGGAGGAACACCGAUGGCGAAGGCAGAUCUCUGGGCAGUAACUGACGCUGAGGAGCGAAAAGCGUGGGGAGCGAACAGG
rnacentral:rRNA from 1 species